GAGUGCAAUGAUGAUUAUUGGUUUUCCCUAUUGGUUUGAUCGCCUGAAUGAUGGCAAAGUAUUAGCUCUAUCUGAGCAUUC
rnacentral:snoRNA from 2 species